GUUAAGUCCGGCGCCGGAGCGGCGGUAAUCCGGAAGGGCCGUGUGUUAUUCUGGUGUAGUGGGUUUAAAGGGGGCGUAGGCCGGUUUGUAAGCCAGCAGUGAAAGGUAGAUGCUCAACAUCUGAGUUGCUGUUGGAACUGCGGACCUUGAGUGCGCGCAAGGGCGGCGGAAUUUGUGGUGUAGCGGUGAAAUGCUUAGAUAUCACGAAGAACCCCGAUUGCGAAGGCAGCUGCCCGGAGCGCAACUGACGCUGAAGCUCGAUGGUGCGGGUAUCGAACAGGAUUAGAUACCCGAGUAGUC
rnacentral:rRNA from 1 species